rnacentral:piRNA from 1 species
GAAGGCAGUGUUGCUGUGUUCCUUCUGGAUC